UACGUAGGGCGCGAGCGUUGUCCGGAAUCAUUGGGCGUAAAGAGCUCGUAGGCGGCCUGUCGCGUCUGCUGUGAAAUCCCGGGGCUUAACCCCGGGCGUGCAGUGGAUACGGGCUGGCUGGAGGCAGGCAGGGGAGAACGGAAUUCCCGGUGUAGCGGUGAAAUGCGCAGAUAGUCGGGAGGAACACCGGUGGCGAAGGCGGUUCUCUGGGCCUGUACUGACGCUGAGGAGCGAAAGCGUGGGGGAGCGAACAGG
rnacentral:rRNA from 1 species